rnacentral:rRNA from 1 species
UGGGGAAUAUUGCGCAAUGGGCGAAAGCCUGACGCAGCGACGCCGCGUGGAGGAUGAAGGUCUUAGGAUUGUAAACUCCUGUUAAGUGGGAAGAAAAGCCUAUCAGUAAUAUGGAUAGGUUAUGACGGUACCGCUAGAGAAAGCACCGGCUAACUUCGUGCCAGCAGCCGCGGUAAUACGAGGGGUGCAAGCGUUAUUCGGAUUUACUGGGCGUAAAGGGUGUGUAGACGGUUUACUAAGUCUGUUGUUAAAUACUCUGGCUUAACUGGAGAUCAGCAGUGGAAACUAGUAGACUAGAGGUUGGGAGAGAGAAGUGGAAUUCCCGGAGUAGCGGUAAAAUGCGUAGAUCUCGGGAGGAACACCGAUGGCGAAGGCAGCUUCUUGGCCCAUACCUGACGUUGAGACACGAAAGCGUGGGGAGCAAACAG